UACGGAGGGUGCAAGCGUUGUCCGGAUUUAUUGGGUUUAAAGGGUGCGUAGGUGGGGUCUCAAGUCGGGCCUGAAAGCGGGUGGCUCAACCAUUCGACUGGGCUGGAAACUGGGGUUCUUGAAUGCGGUAGCGGUGGCUGGAACGGGUCAUGUAGCGGUGAAAUGCAUAGAUAUGACCCAGAACCCCGAUUGCGAAGGCAGGCCACUGGGCCGCGAUUGACACUGAGGCACGAGAGCAUGGGUAGCGAACAGG
rnacentral:rRNA from 1 species